AUAACUGUUCCGAAGAUGAAAUAUUAUUAAUAAAUCUGUUCUUUUUAGCUGAACAUCUGGAAUGCAACUCACCGAGUCGCUUAAAUAAUAAACUGAUUUUUUUAAUCUAGACCAUGGAAUAGGGCGGGGGGGGGGGGGGCUUGCUCCAUCCUGGUCGCAGGCUGGCCCGGUAUUGCAGUACUUCCGGGAUCGGCCAACCCUUC
rnacentral:snRNA from 1 species